CCUCCCUCCCUCGGCGGGGCGGAGGAAGAAGCGGGCUGAGCUGCCGGGGCGCCUGACUGCCUGCCUGCCGCGGCUGGUCUCGCGGGGUCGGCCGCCUCUGCCGCCGCCAUGGUGCUGGAGUCGGUGGUGGCGGACCUGCUGAACCGCUUCCUGGGCGACUACGUGGAGAACCUGAACAAGUCGCAGCUCAAGCUGGGCAUCUGGGGGGGCAAUGUGGCACUAGACAACUUGCAGAUAAAAGAGAAUGCGCUGAGUGAAUUGGAUGUACCUUUCAGAGUAAAGGCUGGACGAAUCGACAAGCUAACUUUGAAGAUUCCUUGGAAGAACCUAUAUGGCGAGGCUGUAGUUGCUACACUUGAAGGCCUAUAUCUGCUCGUUGUCCCCGGGGCAAGUAUUAAAUAUGAUGCAGAAAAAGAAGAAAAGUAUCUACAGGAUAAUAAGCAAAAGGAACUAUCAAGAAUUGAAGAAGCCCUACAAAAAGCAUCCGAGAAAGGAGCUCACUCAGGUUUCAUCUACGGCUUGGAAAAUAUUGUAUACAAGGACACCAAACCUGGACGUAAGUCUAAAAAGACUAAAAAGCACUUUAAGAAACCCUUUAAAGGUCACGAUCGCGCAAAAGAUAAACCAAAGGAAGAAAAGAAAGAUACAUUUUUGGAGAAACUUGCCACACAGGUUAUCAAAAAUGUGCAAGUAAAAAUCACUGGCAUCCAUAUCAAGUAUGAGGAUGAUAUCACAGAUCCUAGCCGGCCACUUUCUUUAGGAAUGACCCUGGGGGAACUGAGUUUACUGACGGCUAAUGAAAACUGGACUCCUUGCAUUUUAAAUGAGGCUGCUAAAAUCAUAUACAAGCUUUUGCGCCUUGACUCCCUCAGUGUCUAUUGGAAUGUGGAUAGUGAAAUGUAUUAUCACACUUCCCGGGAACAAAUACUGGAGCGGUUGAAAGGAGGAGUCCCUUCGACCAGCCGAAAGCCUCCAGACUAUCAGUAUAUAUUUAGGCCGGUGUCAGCCUCUGCAAAGCUCUACAUCAACCCUCAUGCAGAAAUGGAACUGAAAACGCCUAAGAUUGAUUGGAGCAUGGAAGUACAGAGCAUUGCUGUUGAACUGACCAAGCCACAGUACCUUAGUAUGCUCGAUCUUCUGGAGUCCAUAGAUUACAUGGUUCGAAAUGUGCCAUACAGAAAGUACAGACCAGAUGUACCACCACAUAAGCAUGCCAGACAAUGGUGGGAAUAUGCGACAAAUGGCAUUCUUGAGGUUCAUGUCCGACGAUACGCCAGAAUGUGGUCAUGGAGUAACAUAAAGCGCCACAGGCAGCUUCUGAGAAGUUACAAAAACGUUUAUAAAAACAAGUUGACCCAGACCAAAGUAUCGGAAGAAACACAAAAACAAAUGCAGGACCUUGAAAAAGAUCUGGAUGUGUUCAAUAUUGUGCUAGCAAGACAGCAAGCACAAGUUGAGGUUAUAAGGUCAGGACAAAAGCUGUUGAGAAAGAAAUCCAUGGAUGGAGAGAAGAAAAGUGGUGGAUGGUUUAGUGGACUGUGGGGUAAGAAGGAACAGAAGAAAAAAGAAGAUGAAGAAGAACUAUCAGUUCCUGAAACUAUUGAUGACCUCAUGACACCAGAAGAAAAGACGAAGCUCUUCACUGCCAUUGGCUAUAGUGACAGUUCUCACAAUCUGACGUUGCCCAAGAAGUACGUUGCCCAUGUGGUGUCUCUGAAACUGUUAAGCACUUCCUUUACAAUUAAAGAAGACCAAAAUGUUCCAGAUACGCUGAAAAUCCAGAUAAUUGAUUUGAGCACAAAAAUAUCCCAGAGACCAGGAGCUCAAGCUCUGAAGGUCGAAGCCAAGCUUGAGCAUUGGUAUGUAACAGGUUUGAAACAACAGAACAUUGUGCCUUCUCUUGUGGCUUCAAUUCGGGACACCAGCUCAUCUCUGCUUAAAUUAGAGUUUGAGACCAAUCCAGAAGACUGCACAGCAGACCAGAGCUUCACUGUUGAGUCACAGCCUGUGGAAAUCAUAUAUGAUGCAAAAACAAUAAAUGCAAUGGUGGAAUUCUUCCAUACAAAUAAAGGCAUGGACCUUGAGCGCUUAACCACAGCUACGUUAUCGAAGAUAGAAGAAAUUAAAGAGAGGACCGCUACAGGGCUUGCACAUAUUAUUGAAACCCGAAAAGUCCUCAACCUUAGGAUUAAUCUGAAACCUUCCUAUCUUCUGGUUCCACGGAUGGGCUUCCACUAUGAAAAGUCAGACCUUCUUAUUUUGGAUUUUGGUACUUUUCAGUUGAACAGCGUCUAUCAAGGCAACCAUAAUACUUCGAGCACAUCCCUGGAAGAGAUUAUGGACAAAGCGUAUGACAAAUUUGAUGUAGAAAUCAAGAACGUGCAACUGCUAUUUGGCAGAUCAGGAGAAAAUUGGAAGAAGGCACGAUUUGAGCAUCCUUCAGCACUUCAUAUAUUGCAGCCCAUGGAUAUCCAUGUACAGCUUGCCAAAUCGAUGGUGGAGAAAGAUAUCAGGAUGGCGAGGUUCAAAGUGUCAGGAGAGCUUCCUUUGGUUCAUCUGAGAGCUUCUGACCUGAAGAUCAAAGGUGUCUUUGAACUCCUUGACAGCAUCCCCCUCCCACAAAAGUCAACUGUCUCAGCUUCAAGUGUAAAAGCUCCUGCCAUUCCUAUUAUUGCGGAUGCAAGGAAAGGAUUUCUUAGUGCACCACUACUACUGGAAGGAGUAGAAUCUGAAUCUGAAGAAGAGUAUUUUGAUGCUGAUGAUUGUCCCAAACCAGUGGGAAAGACGUCCCCUAGGAAAAGAGAGCAAAAAACUGAGGUUGGGACAGUUCAGGAAGAGCUCACAGAUCUUCAGCUGAAGUUUGAAAUUAGAGAGGUGAUCUUGGAACUCACCAAGCAACUACAGAGAGAAGAAACGGUCCUCAUAUUUAAUGUAAAGCAGCUUGGAACAGAAGCGACUGUCAGAACAUUUGACUUGAGAGCUGUAUCCUAUCUGAGGAAAAUCAGCCUGGAUUAUUAUGAAAUUCAAGGUAAAAGACAACAGCUUCAUCUAAUUAGCUCUUCAGAUAAACCUGGAUUAGAUCUCUUGAAAGUAGAGUACACCAAGGCUGAUAAAAAUGGUCCAAAAUUUCAGACUGUUUUCGAAAACACCAAACAAACAGUUCAGGUUGCUUUCUCCUCGUUAAACCUUCUGCUGCACACGCAGGCCCUUCUGUCCACCAUCAAUUUUCUCAUGGCUGUUAUCCCAUCGAGAGACCUCAGUGCUGCAGAUAAAGGGUCAUCUCAGAUACAGCAAGAAAAACAAACUAGUUUGAAGAAAGUGGUGAAAACCGGCAGAGACAAGGAUGUUUUUGACUUCAGACUGUUUGCCAAGUUGGAUGCCUUCUGUUUAAAUGUUUGUGAUGAGAACAGUAUUGCUGAAAUUAAAAUUCAAGGUCUUGAUUCGUCACUGUUUCUUCAGUCAAGUCAAACCACUCUCUUUGCACGGCUGAAGGACAUCAUUGUUGCAGAUGUUGAUCCAGGAACUAUUCAUAAAAAGGCUGUUUCUAUAGUAGGCGACGAGGUCUUCAGUUUCAACUUGGUGUUGUAUCCGGAUGCUACUGAGGGAGAAGCCUAUACGGACAUGUCCAACGUGGAUGGGAUUGUAACUCUCAAAGUGGGCUGCAUUCAGAUUGUGUACCUACAUAAGUUCCUCAUGUCCCUCCUGAAUUUCCUGAACAACUUCCAAAUGGCAAAAGAGGCCGUGAGUGCUGCCACGGUUCAGGCCGCAGAGAAGGCCGCAACGAGCGUGAGAGACCUGGCUCAGAGGAGCUUCCGGCUUUCCAUGGAUAUCCAUCUUAAGGCUCCAGUUAUCCUCAUCCCCCAGUCUUCCGUCUCUUACAAUGCUGUAGUGAUUGAUCUUGGACUGAUCAGGAUACAAAACCAAUUCAGCUUGGUGUUGACGGAGGACUGCCCGCUCCCUCCAGUUAUGGAUAAAUUGGAUGUACAGUUGACACAGCUUAAGAUGUUGAGGACAGUCUUACAACCGGGAUUUUCACAGACGGACAUUCAAAUUCUUCAUCCUAUUAAUCUUAACCUUUCUGUGAAUCGCAACCUGGCUGGAAUGUGGUAUCACAAAAUACCCUUGGUGGAAAUCAAAGGACAUCUAGAUACAAUGAACAUUAUCCUAAGACCAGAGGAUUUGAAUGUUCUGCUGAAAGUACUGACAGAAAACCUUGCUGAAGCAGACAAUAUGAGUGUUGCAAAGCCAAUGGCCCCAGAUGAAGCAGGCAACAUAAAAGAAAUACCACUAUCACGGGGAGCUCAGAAAGAGAGGCCACUUGAUGAUGACUCCUCAAGCAUCCCCAACGAAGCCUUACAGGAAGAUAUGACAAACUUGCUGCUUAACUUUGAAAUCAAAGAGGUUGUAGUAACAUUAAUGAAACAGGUAGAAAAGAGAAGCUGCCCUUUACAUAUUUUAACAGUGUUGCAGCUUGGAACUGAAGGCAGAAUUAAAACACACGAGAUGACGGCCACAGCAUAUCUCAAAAAAAUCCAGAUGAAGUGCCUUGAAUUUACUGACUCCAGAGGAGACCCUCUGAAUAUUAUCAGCUCUUCAGAUGAAUCUGGUGAACAUCUUCUAAAGAUUGAAUAUAUCAAGGCUGAUGCAGAGGGACCACAUUUUGAAACAAUUUACAACAGUACAAAGCAAGCAUUAAAUGUAUCCUUUUCUUCUUUAGACUUAUUGCUCUACACAGAAGCCUUGCUUUCCAUCAUGAAUUUUUUCACAUAUAGCUCUGCUUCAAGAGGUCUUGCCGCUGCCGAAAAGGGAGCUGACGUCAAGCAGCCAUCGGAGGAGUCCAAAGCUGCGGUUGAAAAGCCAGUUCCUUCUUCUGGGGCCCAUGACAAUGUUUGCGACUUGAAACUCACAGCCAAACUGAAGGCUUUCAACAUUCUACUCUGUGACCAGAAGUGUAACAUUGCUGAUAUCCGCAUACAAGGUAUGGAGGCGUCUGUUUUUGCGACAACAGAGCAGACAGAAGUUUUUGCCAGGCUUCAGGACUUUGUUAUCACCAACGUUGAUCCAAAGACAGUUCAUAAAAAGACUGUCUCCAUAGUGGGAGGCGAAGUCUUUCGGUUUAUGAUGUCCCUUUAUCCAGAAGUCACAGAAGGAGAAGCUUAUAUGGAUAUGUCCAAGGUAGAUGGUAAAAUGUCCCUGAAAGUGGGCUGCAUUCAGAUCGUGUAUCUGCAUAAAUUCUUCAUGUCGCUGCUGAACUUCCUAAACCGGUUCCAAACUGCGAAAGACGCCCUGAGUGCUGCCACAGCUCAAGCUGCAGAACGGGCUGCUUCCAGCAUGAAAGAUUUUGCGAAGAAGAGCUUUCGCCUUUCCAUGGACAUCAACCUGAAAGCUCCGGUUAUAGUCAUUCCUCAGUCUUCUGUCUCUCACAAUGUCCUGGUAGCUGAUCUUGGCUUAAUCAGAGUGCAGAAUGCAUUUAGCCUGGUCCCGGGAGAAGAGGCUUCUCCUCCUCCAGUCAUCGACCAAAUGGAUGUACAGCUAACUCACUUAAAGAUUUCAAGAACUAUGAUUGCCAAUGGUUCUCAGCCAGAUAUUGAAAUUGUGCAACCAGUAAAUCUGCUGUUGUCAAUCCAGAGGAAUUUAGCAGCAGCUUGGUAUCCACAAAUCCCGGGGAUUGCAAUCAAAGGAGACUUAAAAGCUAUGCAGGUAGCUCUCAGUCAAGAUGACUUAACUCUGCUCUUGAACAUUUUACUGGAAAAUCUUGGUGAAGCUGCUGUGCAGCCGGAGGUGAUGCCGCCAACCUUGCCAGAAGUUCAGAUGGUGAAACAGGGCAAAAUUCAAACUGAUGCUGGUCUCCCUGAAGACGUGUUGAUCACUUCAGGACAGGUUGAUCUCCCUGAAUCACAGCCUGAAAGUGUCACCCUUACGUUUCACUUUCACUUUGAGUCACUGUCAGUUGUUCUCUACAAUACCGAUGUUGAUAAGAGAUCCCAGCUUUCGCUUCACAAUAACAGUUUACGUCUUGGAGAACUCAGGCUACAUCUUAUGACAUCAUCAGGAAAAAUGUUUUCAAAUGGCUCUAUGGAUAUUAACACAAAUUUGAAAACGUGUACGCUGGAUGAUCUCAGAGAAGGGAUUCAAAAAGCAACGUCAAGAAUGAUAGAUAAGAAAGAUGAUCAAAGUGAUAAUGUCAUGAUUGACAUAAACUACAAUCAAAAUAAAAAUGGGAGUGAGAUUGUAGCAAUCCUGGACAAGCUGUAUCUGUGUGCGAGUGUGGAGUUCCUAUUGACAGUGGCAGAUUUCUUUAUCAAGUCAAUGCCAACAGCCUCAAUGGAAAGACCGACCCAGAUUCAAUUAAAGCAUACUGCCCCUGGGAAGCCUAAGCCCGAAAAAGAUGGAUCUCUGCAACCGAACAUGAUGAUGCUGGCACGGAUCAUGGACCCAGAGAUUGUCUUUGUUGCCAGCCUGACAAAGGCAGACGCCCCUGCCUUGGCAGUCACAUUCCAGUGCGACUGCUCCAUGUCGACGGGCCCUCUUGCUCAACAGAUGACUGCUCAAGUUCAUCAUCUUAGGGUGCUGGCUUGCCCUUUCCUCCGGAAGAAAGGAGACAAGAAUGUUACCACGGUCGUACAGCCCUGUUCUUUGCAUAUGGAAGCUAUGAUGUGUACUUCAGGAGAACAGAAUGUCUCUGUGAUGGUAGAAGAAUUUAUUGUGAAGAUUUCACCCAUAAUUCUCAACACGGUAAUAACCAUCAUGGCUGCCAUGAAACCAAAGCCUAAGGAGGAAGAGUUGGGAGGAACUGCUUGUGACGCCGUGAACCUAUGGGAUGUCCAGCCUAUUGACCAGUGCCACUCUUGGUUUCUUGGUGUUGACAUGGCCACAGAAGCCACGGAAACAUUCCUGAGCAGUGAACAGUGUGAGAAAAAGGAAAGCUUCAGAGCUGAGGUGAAAUCUGUCCAGAUCACCUUGGAGUGUGGUUUGGGGCAUUCUACCAUCCCCCUGUUGUUAGCAGAGUCUACGUUUUCAGGAACAGUGAAAAACUGGUCUUCGCUCAUGGCUGCCAGAGCUGACAUGACCCUGGAGGUUCACUAUUACAAUGAAUCUUAUGCAGUUUGGGAACCCCUUAUUGAGCGAACUGAUAAGGAAGGACGUCAGUGGAAGUUAAAGUUAGAAAUGAAAACAAACCCUGCACAAGAGAAAGGUUUGUUGCCAGGAGAUGACUUCAUCGUGCUUCCUGAGCCACAAAGUGUAAUCAAUAUUUCUUCAAGGGAUACCAUGAAUAUAACCAUAUCCAAAUGCAGCCUAGCAGUCUUCAGUAAUCUAGCCAAGGGGUUUUCAGAAGGAGCUGCCUCCACCUAUGACUCUUUAAAAGACAGGGCUCCAUUUACUGUGAAAAAUGCUCUGGGUAUUCCCCUCAAAGUCCAUGCAAGCCAAAAUCUCCAGGUGGUUGGAUUAGCAACAAGUGAAGACAUCCACGAUAUCGGAAUUGAUCAGAACAUGGAACUGGAAUAUUUUGCAUUGGAGUCCACGCACCAAGGGAAGUUGUCGGUUCUUCAUCGUCAGGAGAGCUGCAUGUUCACGUUGAGCCUUGCACCUCAAGGAUACACAGAAGUGGCCGGUAUUCCCAUAGCAAAACCAGGCAGAAGACUGCACAACGUCAGAGAUCCUCGCUUUGACCACUCUGACUCUGUUCUAGUACAGAUAGAUGCAAUCGAAGGGAACAAAGUGAUCACCAUACGCUCUCCUCUGCAGAUUAAGAACCACUUCUCUGUCCCAUUUAUAGUUUACAAAUUUGUCAGGAAUGUCAAAAUGCUGGAGCAAAUUGGUGUGUCUAAGCCUGAAGAGGAAUUCCAUGUUCCUUUGGAUUCCUACAGGUGCCAGUUAUUCCUUCAGCCAACUGGGAUUCUAGAAGGCCAAUAUAAAGUCUCUACAACCUACAUAACCUGGAGAGAAGAGCUGCAUAGGAGCAGCGAAGUCAGGUGUAUGCUCCAGUGCCCCUCCGCGGAAGUCAACUUCCUGCCUCUGAUCGUGAAUGCUGCUGCUGUGCCUGAUGAGCUCAACUUCAUUGCAACUCAUGGAGAGGACUGGGACCCAGCUUACGUUAUUCAUCUGUAUCCAGCGCUCACGAUGCGGAAUCUUUUGCCUUACUCUUUACGAUACCUGCUUGAGGGAACCGCAGAGGCCCAUGAGCUGCCAGAAGGAAGUACUGCUGAUGUGCUUCAUUCAAGAAUCAGUGGUGAAAUCAUGGAACUCGUCUUGAUUAAAUACCAGGGUAAAAACUGGAAUGGACAUCUUCGAAUCAAUGAUGCAUUGCCAGAAUUCUUUCCUGUGUGUUUCACAUCGAAUUCUGCAGACGUGAUGACAGUGGACUUGUAUAUUCAUGUUAGGAAGGUUGGCAGCCGGUUGGUCUUGUCUGUGUACAGUCCUUACUGGAUCAUCAACAAAACUUCACGUGUUCUCCAGUACCGUGCUGAAGAUGUACAUGUAAAACAUGCAGCAGAUUAUAGGGAUAUUGUCUUGUUCUCCUUCAAGAAGAAGAACAUUUUCAGUAAAAAUAAGAUCCAGUUAAGCAUCUCAACUAGCACAUGGUCUAGUAGUUUCUCUCUAGACACAGUUGGGAGUUAUGGGUGUGUGAAGUGCCCAGCCCAUUCUAUGGAUUAUCUGGUUGGUGUCAGUAUCAAAAUGAGCAGCUUCAACCUUACCAGGAUCGUGACUUUGACGCCAUUCUACACCAUAGCAAAUAAGUCCUCUUUGGAGCUGGAAGUGGGAGAAAUGGGACCUGAUGGUUCUCUGCCCACUAAUAAAUGGAGUUAUUUCUCUUCUUCAGAGUGUCUUCCAUUUUGGCCAGAAAAUGUGUCUGGCAAACUCUGCAUCAGGGUGAUUGGAGGUGAAGCCUUGUCUAAGCCAUUCUUCUUCAGCAGACAAGAUAAUGGGACUUUGUUGAGCCUGGAAGAACUGAACACAGGUAUUCUGGUAGAUGUGAAUGUGUCUGACCAUUCGACAGUUAUUAGCUUCUCCGAUUAUCACGAGGGGGCUGCUCCGGCACUGAUAGUUAAUCAUACUCCAUGGGAAACUCUUAGAUACCAGCAGAGUGGUGUCCAAGAACAGAGAGAACUCAAGCCAAGGGAAGUGCGACUCUUUGCAUGGGCAGAUCCCACUGGAGUAAAAAAACUGGUUUGGGCAUAUGCACAAAACACAGGGGAACUGGAUCUUCUGAAGGACGAGUGUGGUCAGUUUCCUUACAACUCCAACACUCAGAUUCAUUGGGUCUCUUUUUUGGAUGGACGCCAAAGGGUUCUCCUUUUCACGGAUGAUGUUGGGUUGGUUUCCAAAGCACGGCAAGCAGAGGAGAUGGAGCAACCUGAUCAAGAAAUAAAUGUGUCGCUUCACAGCCUUGGGCUUUCCCUUGUCAACAAUGACAGCAAACAGGAAAUUUCUUACAUAGGGAUCACCAGUUCAGGUGUGGUCUGGGAAUUCAAACCAAAGCAGAAGUGGAAGCCAUUUAACCAAAAGCAAAUAGGUCUCUUGGAGCAGAUGUAUCAAAAAUGGCAUUCUGCAGGAAAUGCGAAGGCUCUCAGCUGGGUUAAAAUUGACAGCAACUUUGAGGUUAAUUUUAGUAAGAUGCCGAUGGAAAUGCGCCUUCCAAUCAAAUGCAACAUCAAACGAGAUUUCUUAUCUGGCAUACAAAUUGAAUUUAAACAGUCACCACACCAAAAAAGUUUACGGGCCCAGUUAUACUGGCUUCAGGUCGAUAACCAGCUGCCUGGCUCCGUAUUCCCUGUUGUGUUUCAUCCCGUUGCUCCUCCAAAAUCUAUUGCCUUAGAUUCAGAACCCAAACCAUUCAUUGAUGUCAGCAUUAUCAUUAGAUUCAAUGAAUACAGCAAAGUGUUGCAAUUCAAAUAUUUCAUGGUUCUAAUCCAAGAGAUGGCUUUAAAAAUAGAUCAAGGAUUUUUAGGAGCUGUUUUUGGACUCCUUACUCCAUCUACCGACCCCGAAGCUGAAAAACAGAGGACCAAGUUAAUACAGAAGGACGUUGAUGCUCUGAAUACACAGUUGAUGGAAUCAUCCCUGAGUGAUAUGUCCGCACUUAGCUUCUUUGAACAUUUCCAUAUUUCUCCUUUGAAGUUGCAUCUGAGCCUUUCUCUAGGCUCUGGUGGGGAAGCAUCUGACAAGGGUAGAGGAGAAAUGAUAGCCAUCCAUUCUGUGAAUCUGCUGCUGAAGAGCAUUGGAGCCACUCUGACGGAUGUGGAUGAUCUUAUCUUUAAACUUGCUUUCUUUGAAAUCCGGUAUCAGUUUUACAAGAGAGAUCAGUUAAUGUGGAGAGUCUUUGGGCAUUACAGAGACCAAUUCCUGAAGCAGAUGUACGUUCUUGUUCUCGGCCUGGAUGUCCUGGGAAAUCCCUUCGGCUUGAUCAGAGGCUUGUCUGAGGGCGUGGAAGCCUUCUUCUAUGAGCCUUUCCAGGGAGCUGUUCAAGGGCCUGAAGAGUUUGCUGAAGGAUUCGUGAUUGGAGUGAAAAGUCUGCUUGGCCACACCGUGGGUGGUGCUGCAGGGGUGGUCUCUCGGAUCACGGGUUCUGUGGGGAAAGGUUUGGCUGCCAUCACGAUGGAUAAAGAGUACCAGCAGAAGAGGAGAGAGGAGAUGGGCCGCCAGCCCAAAGAUUUUGGGGACAGUCUUGCCAAAGGAGGGAAAGGCUUUCUCCGAGGGGUUGUUGGUGGAGUAACUGGAAUCAUCACAAAACCUGUAGAAGGUGCCAAAAAGGAGGGUGCCGCUGGAUUCUUCAAAGGGAUUGGGAAGGGCCUGGUAGGUGUGGUGGCUCGUCCGACAGGAGGCAUUGUGGACAUGGCAAGCAGCACGUUCCAAGGGAUCCAGAGGGUGGCAGAAUCGACAGAAGAAGUGUCAAAUCUCCGUCCUCCACGUCUUAUUCAUGAAGACGGCAUCAUUCGACCCUAUGACAGAGGUGAAGCUGAAGGCUACGACUUAUUUGAGCAACAACAGGAAUAAUGGAGUCUGCAUCUCUUUCCUUGAUUGUACUUCAUCAUCUCUGUCUGCCUUGGUUUAUUUUAAAAUAAAGGGUGCAAUGCUUUGAGUCUUUUAUGACAUUCAGUGUCUUCUCGCAACCCCUUUAAGUAUUGCUGGUACUAAACUGCUCAUUUCAAAUUAUAUAGAGAGAAUUUUCUGUCCAAAUUGUGUGGUGAUGAGGAGAACAGAAUCCUACAGAGCAUUUUUUUUAAUGUCCCAAUUAUUCUGAGCUACUCUUGUAUCAUUCUGUCUAAAGAAAUACUUAUGGCAUGCAUAUCAGCUUUUCACUAACACAAGCAUCAAUGUGGGAUAUAUUGGUUUAAAAUAUUUUUAUUAUAAAACUACCGUAUACAUCAAAAACUGCACAUCUGCCUUGGACAACUCCAACUGGCCACCACAAUUUCAAAACUUGCUUUCCUCAUGCUUUGUCACCCAUAUGAAAAAGACUGGAAUUGAUGCUCGCAAUGUAUCUUUAUUGUACUGGAACAUGUUGUGGGAACUAUUUUUUUAUCAAUAUAUGUAUGUAAAUAUAUAUUUAUUUAUAUAAUUGUAACUGUACUCCGGAGUGGCUCUCACUUGGCAGCUGGUGAGAGAGAGCUCACUUCUCCUGACAAAUGUUUUCAAGAAAUCAUAAAAAUAAAAUUAAGGCGGCGUGGGUGUGGGGUGGGGCUUGAAAUUGGUGUUCUGUUCUCAAAUGCAUUCUUUAUACUUUUGUUUGCAUAAUACCUCCUGCACCCUCUGUCUUCUGCUGGGGUCUUUUCCUUUUUACCAUGCCCAGGGACUCCGACUCCUCUGUUCUCCCCCCCCCCCCCGCCGCCUUCCCCAUACCACCCACUACGACCCUUUUUCUUAAGAUCCAUUAUGAAGAAGAGUUUGAGAAUAUAUUGCCCGCUUUCUUAUGUGACUUUAGUUGGUCCUGAUAAAGGGAUUAGCUUGCUGCUAUUUCAGGACGUUUUUUUCUAACAGACCAAUACCACCACUGCAGGUUUUGAGGGUUUCCAUGGAACUUAGAGGGCCACAUUGUGUAAGAUAAAUUUUUAAUGUGAAAUCUCUUCUGUGUUGAGACACCUGCUGUAUGUGAUGCGUGCACCCGGGUCUGCAUUUCCCAUCUGUAGAUGCAGCAAGAAUUCCUGAUUGUACACGUGGCAGAAUGGAUACAUGCGUACCGAUCCCAUGUGCCAGAGUAAAAACAGGAUGCCCAGAUGUUGGCUUUUCCUUCAUGGCAACUGACGAUAUGUGCACAACUUGCCUUCUGUGAUCCAGAAGGGCACCCAGCCUCAGAAAGGAGAUCAUUAUGAUCAUAAGCCCUUUGGGGACAGAAGUUUGCUGGUGCUUCUAUUUAUUUCCCUCCUAAUGUAAACCUGUAAAUAGAAAUAUUUGACCAAUGUAUGGGGCAGGGUCAUCAUCCAAAUUCUUGUAGCUGUAUUGUUGGUGAUGGUCUUCAUUGAUCAGCAGCAGUAAAGCUUUGCAGGAAAUGGAAAGAAUAAAAGCCCUCUUCAGAUGUUAUACAAAGGGUGAUCUACCAGCCGCGGAGCCAGCUGAACGGCGGCCUGGGUCUGGCCCCGCUCGGUGACCCCCUCCAGUUAUUCCCGUGCGUUUCGCUCUGGGCUCCUCUGGAGCCUGAGCCACAGGGCUUCGGUGGCCCUUUUCAUUGGCAGCCCGGGUUCUUUGAACCCGUUUGCACAAUGGUGGCUACGCCCCUCUGCUCUACUCAUGUGGAGCUCCUAAAACAAGGCCCAAAGUCCCGACCCAGCCCUGUUGGUCAUCCCGGUCAGCACCCUGAUCAUGGUUAGAGCAGCGCUCAUCUGAAGUGGCAAAUGCCACGUCCAUGAUGGUGGGCACUUGCAUGCUAGGGAGGCACAGGCCCACACCGCCUGAUCAUGGAAGCACCCACCAUCAUGAAUGCAGCAUUUGCCUCGUCAGACAAACGCCGCCCUAACCCUGAGCUCCUGACAGGGAUGACUGCCACAACGGGACUUCCAGCCCCAUUUCAAGCCCUCUACUUUUGUCGAACAUCUUUGGCAUAAUGUCUGAUUAGUGCUAAAGACUAAACAUUUAUGUUGCAUUAAGAGAAGGAAGGCAGAGAAAGAUCUUGCAGGAUAGUGGCAUUUUGGGCAACGCCUUGGUCUUGGAGCAUCAGAAGCGUCAGUCUAGAAUGAAUCCUGUUAACAAAUGUGUGUUCCGCCUUCAUAUACAUUCAAGGUGGAUUGUGAUGGUGGUUAUCAUGUGCUGAAGUACUUGUUUGUUUUUAAAAAGGACGUUUGUUAGGCCAGCUCAAAUACAACCUUCUGAAAGCAGUGUCCUGUUUAGUCGUUUCUGGUGCUGACCAACUAAAUGCUGUUCUUGUAAAACUUCCAUUUGCACUUGUACAAGCGAAGCCAUUCUUUGCAGAUUACAAUUUUUUAUGUAUUAUACAAUCUUUUGCCUAUAUAUUUGAAGAAGUACUUCAGGCUUGUGAAAAUAAAGUUCUGACCUGAGGGGGAAAUGAUGAA